UGAAGAGAAAGCCUAGCGCCCGAGCCUUUAUGCUUUAUACCUGAUACGGUGAUACUGUGAUACCCAAAAUUCAAAACCUGCUGCAACGGCAGCGACGCAGCACCGCAUAAUAAAAAAAAAAAGAAAAAAAAAGGCAGUCGGUACGGCAGUUCAGGGAAUCAGAGUUUUCAAAUCAGAAUCACCAGAUGUGAUCGGAUGAUUUAGAUCGGAGGAAGCUUCAAGCAUGAGCAGUUGAUUCGCUGAGCCAGGCAGCCAGCAAAUCGUAUUGGGGCCCUUCCACGAUACCUAGCCAAAACCACGGUUCAGUACUGAGGAGCAAGUGUGGUCUUUGAAGACUGAGCUGACAUAGGCAAUAGAGAGAGAUGUCAAGGGAGUUGGUGAAAUGAAGGGGAAUCUUUCUACAAUCUAAAGUCUCUAAUUUAAUCAAAGCAAAGAGAAUGGCAGUUAGCAAGCACAUUGUGUUGCAGUUUGGAAAUCUCGUGGUGAGAGGUUGUCCUGUUUGUCAUUGUCCCCUCCACCUUGUAAGCAUUCAAUUGAUGAAUAUAUAUGCAUAGCUCCAACUCCACUCCUUAAUGAUGGUCGAAGAUAUCGAUUUGUCGACUGUCAACGAAGCCAUUAUUUUGGUGGUUUAGCAAUUAAUGCUGGCAGUAUGGUGGGUGGAGACACCGAUCUAGUGACAGUUGCUGGAAACACUAUUUCAGCAAUUCGACCAUCGAACCUCCACCACAAGCGGCUCCAUUAGCCGAGCCAUUGGUGUUGGUAGUUUACUUAAAAUAUAAGUUUAAAUUAAAAAAGU